rnacentral:rRNA from 1 species
GAUGAACGCUAGCUACAGGCUUAACACAUGCAAGUCGCGGGGUCUGUUUCGGCAGACGACCGGCGCACGGGUGAGUAACGCGUAUCCAACCUGCCCCUCUCUUUGGCAUAGCCUUUCGAAAGAGAGAUUAAUUCCGAAUAAUGUAGUUUGAUUGCAUAUUCAGACUAUGAAAGCUCCGGCGGAGAGGGAUGGGGAUGCGUUCCAUUAGGUAGUAGGCGGGGUAACGGCCCACCUAGCCGACGAUGGAUAGGGGUUCUGAGAGGAAGGUCCCCCCACAUUGGAACUGAGACACGGUCCAAACUCCUACGGGAGGCAGCAGUGAGGAAUAUUGGUCAAUGGACGCAAGUCUGAACCAGCCAAGUAGCGUGAAGGAUGACUGCCCUAUGGGUUGUAAACUUCUUUUGUCGUGGAACAAAGUCUAUCACGUGUGAUAGUUUGUAUGUACCGUAUGAAUAAGCAUCGGCUAACUCCGUG